UACGUAGGCAGCGAGCGUUGUUCGGAAUUACUGGGCGUAAAGAGUGUGUAGGCGGUGUUCCCAGUCUGUUGUGAAAUCUCCCGGCUUAACUGGGAGGGUGCAGCGGAAACUAGAAUGCUAGAGGGUGGGAGAGGUAAGCGGAAUUCCUGGUGUAGCGGUGAAAUGCGUAGAUAUCAGGAGGAACACCAACGGCGAAGGCAGCUCUCUGGGACGUUACUGACGCUGAGACGCGAAAGCGUGGGGAGCAAACAGG
rnacentral:rRNA from 1 species